AUUCCUGAGAUGCAUUCCACAGGAGUUGGGCAAUUGGGGAGGGGAGGGAAUGGAGGACAGGAGGUCAAAGCCUAGCAAGGAAUGGAAUGUAAGUGUAUGGGGGCUAAGGAAUUUGGGGUACACAGAAAACACAGCCAGAGCAGAUAUCCACAAAGGGAACUGCAGAAAGACAAGGAGCUACAGAGAGAGACAAAGACAGGAGAAAGCUGAAGACAGUCAAAACGCACCAGGGUUGGGGGAGUAACACUCAGUCUGUUACCAAAUUUGGCCUCUGAGUCCGCAACCGCCGGCAGGGGGAGGGUUUGUGGGUAAGACUGACAUAUCCGGCCUCGGGCUGCUGGAAGCUCAUUUAGGGCUGGACUGGGCAGCUGAAAGCCAGGACCUAACUUCCCCCAGUAUAGCCCCUCCACAUCUAGACAGCAUACUCAUUCUCCCAAAUGCGCCCCCGCCUUUGCACAGAGCUCUCUGAAAGAGUGGCCUACACUGUGUGCACAUGGGUUAGCUUCAUCACACAGCCCCUACUCAGAUGGGCACCCUGUUCUGAACAGAGUUCCCACAAACACACCUCCAUCACCCACGCCCCACACCCCUGGCCCACAACACCCCUUUCCCUAGGAUGUAGCCAUUCUCCCUUCGUUCACCCCAAAGCAUCCACUCCUUUUGGGUCUGUUAUAGGGGAGGUGCUGGGCCAAUCUUUCAGUGGCUGGGAACCAAGAUGAGUAAGACCUCGCCUUUGCCUUCAAGGGGCUUCCCGUUCAGAAGAUGAGUGGAGCCACAGCCCAGAAUCCUGCUGGGCCCAGAGCUUCCUAUCCUCAGCAGCCUCCUAGGAGCUGGGGCGGCUGAGGUUUAGGCCAAGGACUGCUCCCGCAGAGGAGCCACCUCCCGCAGAUCGGCCUGCCGAGACACCCUGGAAGCUGACGUCUCCCCCAGAACCCGCCAUAGACGCGCCGCAGUCAGGGGCCGCGCCCGCCCGCCUCCCGGGCCAGACCUCGCGGCCCC